rnacentral:lncRNA from 1 species
CUGCAUCACGGAGAGGUUCAGCAUCGGGAGAGGGAGGGGAGUUGAUGCCCGGGUCGUCCCUAGAAUGGCCGAGGGCCUGCCCUGUGUCGUUCUUCACCAACGUCGGCGCUUCGCCGCUGACUUACCUCGCACCGAGGACCAGCAGUGUCAUAGCAUCAUCUCUGGAAAGGGGAUUACUCCCGUAGGUUUGUUUUCACCCCUAUAGAAUUUUCUUGGUCGCAUGCUGGGCUUGGGGCGGUGGAUGUUUCGGCCGCUGUUCGUCAGCACGGCUCCGCCGUGGGGGUGGUACCGGCGCCACCGUACCGUGGAUCGAGAUAGGAGAAACUACUCCAGCCAUCGGAUGUAGGACUUGUGGCUGAGAUUAGGUCGGGAUAAUGGUUCGGCUAGAUCCGCUAUCCGCCGUUGAUCUCUGCGUAGACGGCUCGGAUCAGAUGAUAGCGACACCCCUUCAUAGCAUUAAAAACUGGACGUUGAUCGUCCAUCCUACGACUUGGGAUAUCAUGAGUAUCUCGUCCAUUCGUCGUGAAUCUCACGGUUUAGGCGUUCUGAAGGGUUUGGAUCUAAUCUGAUCCGUAGAUUAGAGAUCCAACAGCCAAAAUAUAACCAUAUUCCUUCGCUAUGGUUGUUUUUUUAAAAAGACCCUCAGUUCCUUUGAAACCAACCCGCCAUCCCUUGCCUGUUAUAGAAUAAUUAUGGUUCUGUCCAAAAUCUUAUAGAAGAGACCCUAAGCUUCUCUAAAUUUUACCCACCGGCCAAAAGAUCCCAGAAAAUUAUAAAACAAAUCUCGAAAUUGGUUUUCAGUAUAUAAACAAAUCAAAGAAUCUUAGAAAAUUCAUAUUUUAAUCAUUUUAACUCCAAUUUAAUCCAUUCCAAUUGCAUUAGCUUUGUAAUGUUAUCACCUACACCUUUGUAACAUUAUUUUAUCAUGCAACAUAUGCUGAAAAAUAAAUAACCAAUUUAUUUAACCUAUGCUUAUUGGAUUAACUUCUUUAAUCUAAUUAGGUAUAGCUUUUUAAUUUGGAUCAUCUAUGUUGGGG